ensembl:lncRNA
AUGCAACAACUUGGACUAUCAGUGGGAGGAAACUUUAUGGAUGUUAAUAAAGGAAAAGAGAAUAUCGUUAGAGCCAGAAGAAAGAAAGCUCCAUCCCAUCCCAUUGCCUAUCCUGUGAAUCAUCCAUGUGGAUCAUUGAUGCAACUCGAAGGCACCGAAGGGACUCGGCGGGACUGCAUUCACCUGGGGGAUGAGGCGGCAGGAGCGGACGGAGUCGCUGAGGCCUGUCCACUGGUGAUGGUUGGCAUAGUCCACGUGGCGCAGGAAGUACUGGGGGCCCGAGUAGUUGGGCUGCUCGUAGAGCAUCCAGCAGCUGCUGUCCACGCGCACCAAGUUGCUCAAUAAUAAUAAUUUCUAAAAAUAAAUGCCUGGAAAGUAUUGCUUUUAUUUGAAAACCAUUACAUUCAAAUAAAUAUAUGAAAACCAUCGCAAAUAAAUAUUCGAAAACCAUGUGCCUUUCCUAAUGCCCUAUAAAUCAUCUACUAACUACAACAGACAAUGAAAUUGUUUUAUUUUUGCAUGUUAGUUUGCAUGAAUUUACUGGCACAGCUAGCUAUUUCCUUGUGAAAAGAAUGAUCUUCACACAGGCUUGAUACAUUUUUAUGUGAUUAAUUCUGGAAAAGUUGAGUCAUGACAACUUAGUGAAAAGAAGAAUGAGGGAGAUACCGCAUGGAAGCUUCUUGACAACAAGGGGUCAGUCUGUGAACUUGGGCCCAGGAAAAGGAGCUUUUAAUUGCUGCCAAAGAGAAUGUACUUAAAAAGGACUUUUAGAAAUUCAUAGACUGAUCUAGAUGCUGAUUUCAGUUUGAAGCUAUGUUUUGAAGUUUUCUGAAUAGUUCUUUGUUGUAAUUGUUCUUUGUUGUAAUGUUUGAAGAAGAAUUAAGUAAUGAUUGGUUUAUUUUUAAAAAAUCAUUGAUGAUUAAUACAGUUAUUCAUGAUGCUUUUUAAAUUUCAACUUUACUUUUAAUUUAAUAUAUAUAGCUUUGUAUGGAACAGAUCCCUUUUAAGUAAAACUUUUCAUAAGACUGAAAAUAAAUAGCAUGUAUGUAUAUGUGUGUGUGUGUGUGUGUGUGUGUGUAUAUAUAUAUAUAUAUACACACAAAGAAAUCAUAGAAAAUAUUUUUUUAUAUGAACAACAGGAGAUAAAUAGCAUAAGAGACAUUAGGCACAAGUCUUAGAAGGAAUAUAAUUAUAAAAUCUAUUUUUAUCCUCUUCUCCCCAAAAGCUCUACUAAGGUACUUAAGCGUUUCCUCCAAGCACCGGGGGUAGGAGGGUGCGACCCAAAAACCAUCAUAGAGAAUGAUGCAAAGUAAAUGAAGAAUUGAACUUCUGUCAAAUAAAGUAUGUUGGUGAGAGAAAUGAAAAAGCUGAAUCACCAGGGUCUCAAAAGUACUUUCUCCUAAAAGCUUGUAGCAUGUUUUUUUUCAAAAGGAUUUGGAAAAACCUACUUCUUCCAACUGACUUAUUAUUUGAACCAUUUGAUCAAUGUUGAAGCUAUUCCCAAGAAAAAAUUCAAGUAAUGAAUUUCCUAUUAACUGGAUUUCUUCCUGAAGUAUAUUUUUAAGCCAUCUGAGGAUAAAACAUUUAAAGCCAUUAUCUUCUCACUCUGUCAUAUGAACUCUGUAAUUGAGUUUGUCUCAGUAAAAGGCAGCUGCAAUUCCCUAACACCAAUCACAGAAAAGUACCAAGUUCUCAAAAAAGAUAAGAAUAUAAAUACAGUGUUAUUAAGCAUGAAUAUUAGUCAACUGAGAACGAAAAAGUAACUCUGUUCAUCUCACAUCUCUUCUAUUAAGGCUUUACAAACUGUCUCCAUAUUUAACAUAAAACUUCUUUUAAAACAUUUGUAGCAUUCCUAUUAAUAGCAGAAAAUGAUUUAAAGGCAAUUCAUGCUUAAAUUCGUUUGUGAUAACAGUGGUGAAAUGCAGACUAUGCAAAACAUGUAUAAACACCUGUCAUUCAAGUCAGCAUGCUGAAAUAGACACUACAUGUAAAGUAAAAUUUCCAAUGUUAAGGCAAUAAGAAAAAGAAGAAAACAGAGGUAUAUUGCAUCAUAUGGAUUUCAAGAUAUUCAAAUUUUAAGUUACAUUUGUGAUAAAAACAUGUAUUUACUGAAAAAGGAAACUGACUCCAAAAUGGCAGAGGAGAAAAAAAGAGUUUCAAUUUAAGGUUAAGAGUUAUCGUAAAAUUGCAAGUUUUUAAAAAUCAAGGCAUUCAAGUAUAAAGUAUUUUAAAUAUCUGACUUCAAAUAAUUAAGUAAAACCAAGAGAUCUUUUCUUUGCUUUUUUUUUUUUUUUCUCUAGAUAGGGUCUCACUCAGGCUGGAGUGCAGUGGCACAAUCAUGGCUCACUUCAGCCUCAACCUCCUGUACUCAAAUGAUACUCUCCCCUUAGUCUCCCAAGUAGUUAGGACAACAGGCAAGUGGUACUAUGCCUAGCUAAUAUUUUUAUUUUUUGUAGAGAUGAUGUCACACUAUGCUACUCAGGCUUGUCUUGAACUCCUGGCCUCAAACAAUCCUCCUGCCUUGGCUUUCCAAAGUGUUGGGAUUACAAGUAUAGGCCACUGUGCCUGGCCCAAGAAAAGAUAUUUAAAAAAAAUAAUCAGGGAGCAGGAUUGGCUUUUUUCUGUUUGUUAUUGAAACAAUUUUUAGUCAUUUCUUUGUCAAGUAGGCAUUAAUAGUUACAAUAGAAAUUAGACUUCUGACUAAGAUAAUCAAGGACUAAG